AUUGAACGCUGGCGGCAUGCCUAACACAUGCAAGUCGAACGAGUGGCGGACUGGUGAGUAAUGUCUGAGAAACUGCCCGAUGGAGGGGGCUAACUACUGUAAACGGUAGCUAAUACCGCAUACCAUCGUAUGUGCCCAGAUGGGAUUAGCUAGUGGGUGGGGUAACGGCUCACCUAGGCGAAGAUCCCUAGCUGGUCUGAGAGGCUUACCGGCAAAACUGGAACUGAGACACGGUCCAGACUCCUACGGGAGGCAGCAGUGGGGAAUAUUGGACAAUGGGCGAAAGCCUGAUGCAGCAAGGCCGCGUGUAUGAAGAAGGCCUUCGGGUUGAAAAGUACUUUUAGCGAGGAGGCGGUACCCGAAGAAGAAGCACCGGCUAACUACGUGCCAGCAGCCGCGGUAAUAC
rnacentral:rRNA from 1 species